GUGCUUGUUUUGGCAGCACAUAUACUAAAAGUGGAAUGAUACUGAGUAGAUUAGCACCGUCCCUGUGCCAGGAUGACACACAUUUGUUACAAAAACGUUCAGUCUCU